UUGCUCAAGGACCAAGGCAGAUUAGGGUGUUCCCGGUUUUAAGAUAAUCGUGUUUAGGGCAUUCCCAGUUUAGGUUCCAGGUUUAAGGUUUAAGAUUAUUCCUGCUGGGAAUAGGGCGUAUCCUGCUGCCUGAGUUCCCCUUGAGUUCUCACGGGAUUCAGACAAUAUAUUUUGGAGAUAGAAGCCCAGUGGAGGUGGAUUUGGGCAGAGAACGUGAAUUUGGGAGAGAAGGUGGAUUUGGGAAGAGAACGUGGAUUUCCCCAGAACAUGAUUGUAGACGGCUGGUGUGAGUUCGGGAAUAAAGAGUUGCUGUUUGAAUCUACAA